rnacentral:rRNA from 1 species
UACGUAGGGCGCAAGCGUUGUCCGGAAUUAUUGGGCGUAAAGAGCUCGUAGGCGGUUUGUCGCGUCUGCUGUGAAAACCUAAGGCUCAACCUUGGGCUUGCAGUGGGUACGGGCAGGCUAGAGUUCGGUAGGGGAGACUGGAAUUCCUGGUGUAGCGGUGAAAUGCGCAGAUAUCAGGAGGAACACCGAUUGCGAAGGCAGCUCGCUGGGACGUUACUGACGCUGAGACGCGAAAGCGUGGGGAGCAAACAGG